AGAUGGGUAUUUAAAAAAAUAAAGCCUAAUCUGCAAUUAGAAAUUGCUAAAAAGCCCCAUCUA
rnacentral:tRNA from 1 species